rnacentral:tRNA from 1 species
GUCUGGGUGGCUCAGUUGGUUGAGCGACUGACUUCAACUCAGGACAUGGUCACAUAGUUCGUGGGUUCGAGCCCCGCUCCAGGCU